UGGGGAAUAUUGCACAAUGGGCGCAAGCCUGAUGCAGCCAUGCCGCGUGUAUGAAGAAGGCCUUCGGGUUGUAAAGUACUUUCAGCGGGGAGGAAGGGAGUAAAGUUAAUACCUUUGCUCAUUGACGUUACCCGCAGAAGAAGCACCGGCUAACUCCGUGCCAGCAGCCGCGGUAAUACGGAGGGUGCAAGCGUUAAUCGGAAUUACUGGGCGUAAAGCGCACGCAGGCGGUUUGUUAAGUCAGAUGUGAAAUCCCCGGGCUCAACCUGGGAACUGCAUCUGAUACUGGCAAGCUUGAGUCUCGUAGAGGGGGGUAGAAUUCCAUGUGUAGCGGUGAAAUGCGUAGAGAUCUGGAGGAAUACCGGUGGCGAAGGCGGCCCCCUGGACGAAGACUGACGCUCAGGUGCGAAAGCGUGGGGAGCAAACAGG
rnacentral:rRNA from 1 species